rnacentral:rRNA from 1 species
GACGAACGCUGGCGGCGUGCUUAACACAUGCAAGUCGAACGGAAAGGCCCUGCUUUUGUGGGGUGCUCGAGUGGCGAACGGGUGAGUAACACGUGAGUAACCUGCCCUUGAUUUUGGGAUAACUUCAGGAAACUGGGGGUAAUACCGGAUAGGAGCUCCUGCUGCAUGGUGGGGGUUGGAAAGUUUCGGCGGUUGGGGAUGGACUCGCGGCUUAUCAGCUUGUUGGUGGGGUAGUGGCUUACCAAGGCUUUGACGGGUAGCCGGCCUGAGAGGGUGACCGGCCACAUUGGGACUGAGAUACGGCCCAGACUCCUACGGGAGGCAGCAGUGGGGAAUAUUGCACAAUGGGCGGAAGCCUGAUGCAGCAACGCCGCGUGCGGGAUGACGGCCUUCGGGUUGUAAACCGCUUUCGCCUGUGACGAAGCGUGAGUGACGGUAAUGGGUAAAGAAGCACCGGCUAACUACGUG